UCUUAUCAAGAGAAGCGGAGGGACUGGCCCUAUGAAGCUCGGCAACCUGGAUAUUAUUAUGUAUUCAAUGGUGCUAAUUCCAUCAGGCGAAGCCUGAAAGAUGAGG
rnacentral:ncRNA from 1 species